UUUUUAAUGUAUCCACUCUGUUCUACCAUGGUGUAGAUGGGAAGAGGAAUGGAGUAGGGGUGAUUAUAAAGGAAAAAUAUGCUAGACAUGUAGUAGAAGUAAAACGAGAGUCAGACAGGUUGAUGUGCGUGAAGGUAGAGAUAGAAGGUGUGAUGAUGAAUGUAGUCAGUGGGUAUGCCCCACAGGUGGGCUGUGAGUUAGAAGAAAAGGAAAAGUUCUGGAAUGAGAUGGAUAGAGUGACAGAGAGCAUUCCCAGGGGAAAGAGAGUAGUGAUUGGAGCAGACUUAAAUGGUCAUGUAGGGGAAGGUAACAGAGGUGAUGAGGAAGUGAUGGGCAAGUUUGGACUUAGAGAUAGGAACUUGGAAGGACAGGCAGUGGUAGACUUUGCCAAAAGAAUGGAAAUGGCAGUGGUAAACACCUAUUUCCAAAAGUGAGAAGAACACCUGAUAACUUACAAGAGUGGAGGCAGGUCCACACAGAUAGAUUAUAUCCUAUGUAGAAGAGGUAAUCUGAGGGAGGUUAACGACUGUAAGGUGGUGCCAGGAGAGAGUGUAGCCAAACAGCAUAGGAUAGUAGUGUGCAAGCUGACAAUGGAGGUGAGGAAAAGGAAGAG